rnacentral:rRNA from 1 species
AUUGAACGCUGGCGGCAUGCCUUACACAUGCAAGUCGAACGGCAGCACGGGUGCUUGCACCUGGUGGCGAGUGGCGAACGGGUGAGUAAUACAUCGGAACAUGUCCUGUAGUGGGGGAUAGCCCGGCGAAAGCCGGAUUAAUACCGCAUACGAUCUACGGAUGAAAGCGGGGGACCUUCGGGCCUCGCGCUAUAGGGAUGGCCGAUGGCUGAUUAGCUAGUUGGUGGGGUAAAGGCCUACCAAGGCGACGAUCAGUAGCUGGUCUGAGAGGACGACCAGCCACACUGGGACUGAGACACGGCCCAGACUCCUACGGGAGGCAGCAGUGGGGAAUUUUGGACAAUGGGCGAAAGCCUGAUCCAGCAAUGCCGCGUGUGUGAAGAAGGCCUUCGGGUUGUAAAGCACUUUUGUCCGGAAAGAAAUCCUUGGCCCUAAUACGGUCGGGGGAUGACGGUACCGGAAGAAUAAGCACCGGCUAACUACGUG